GUAGGGACCAAGCGUUGUUCGGAUUUACUGGGCGUAAAGGGCGCGUAGGCGGCGUGGUAAGUCACUUGUGAAAUCUCUGAGCUUAACUCAGAACUGCCAAGUGAUACUGCUGUGCUUGAGUGUGGAAGGGGCAAUCGGAAUUCUUGGUGUAGCGGUGAAAUGCGUAGAUAUCAAGAGGAACACCUGAGGUGAAGACGGGUUGCUGGGCCAACACUGACGCUGAGGCGCGAAAGCCAGGGGAGCAAACGGGAUUAGAUACCCCGGUAGUCCUGGCCCUAAACGAUGAAUACUUGGUGUCUGGAGUUUUAGUGCUCCGGGUGCCGUCGCUAACGUUUUUAGUAUUCCGCCUGGGGAGUACGCUCGCAAGAGUGAA
rnacentral:rRNA from 1 species